CUCGUUACCGGAGCAACAGCCGUACACGCGUUGCCACCGCUCCGGCGACUGUUGUCCUUCCCUGCGUGGGGAACAAUUUUCGUCUUUGUUCAGCCAGACUUUUUGGAUCCCAUUCUUUUACGCUUACUGAAAAGUCAGUAAUUACACAGUAAGUACAGAGUGAAGUCCAUUUGCGACGGUCUUGCCACAAAGUGUCACUUUUUUUUUUUUUUUAAGCAAAGUACUGCAGCGAUUGAUUCAUCAAAGUGUUCGCCAUCAAUCAUCAGCGGCUGACGUCAGAGCAUGAAAUCGAAAAAAGAAGUGAGGAAAAAAAAAAAUCAAUUCCACAAGAUGUUUUUUUUUUUCAUACGCACAAAGGACUGUUUUGAUCUCUUUCUUUUUUUUUUUUUUACUUUUUUCAGUCAUCAAACGGGCAGAAAAGUGUUUGCGUGAUUAUCAUUUCUGCCUCGCAGCUCUGAGGUUUCCGGGUCUGAAUCCCGGCACAGACUUUCCUCUGAAGAGCUUGCAUGUUCUCUCCUUUCUUGUCCUGGUCUUUGAGAACCGAGCCCUGCAGAUAGAUGACCCUCUGCGACCACAGCGGGAUCUGGAGGACGCGCCGCACCUGGAAGCCCAUUUCGCUCGGACACAGGAUCACCACGUAGUAAUCCUUCAGCGUGCUGACGCACAAGACCACGUGCUUCUCCGUCUGCGCCCGGUGACGGCUGUAGUUGCCCCCCGACUUCUGGCUCUCCAUCCACAGGGGCAGCACCACCAGCGCCACGCAGAUCAUGACGACCACCAGAAGCCGCGAGGGCCAAAUGCGGGGGGUGACGUCGCCGAAGCCCACCGUGGAGAAGGUGACGAUGCAGAAGUAGAAAGAGUUGAACAGCGAGAGGUGUUUGCCCGCCCGCUCCAGAGAAGAUGGUGAAAAUGAUUCAAGACUGACCCAGUGAAGACCAAACAGAGCAGCGUACAGAUGAGGAUAAGGACCUGGUUGAACAUAGCCGAGUUGGUCCUCUGGAUCGCCCUGUGGACGUCGUUCUGCAAUUAGAAAAGAAGCGUGCGGUGUUCAACUUUUCUCGAGUUAAUUUUCCAUUUUCCAUCUCAUUAACUUGGCCGUCUUGUGCAAAUAGCGACCGUAACGGAAGAAACUUGCGUCGGAACUUCAGGUGAGGGUUGCGAACGGCGAAGACGCGGAUGGCGCCCCGCGAUGGUCUCCGCUAGCGCCGAUCGUCAGAGUCGAUUAGCCCGCGACGGCAAAAUGCAAGUAAAUGACACCGUUAA